rnacentral:rRNA from 1 species
GACGAACGCUGGCGGCGUGCUUAACACAUGCAAGUCGAACGGAAAGGCCCUGCUUUUGUGGGGUGCUCGAGUGGCGAACGGGUGAGUAACACGUGAGUAACCUGCCCUUGACUUUGGGAUAACUUCAGGAAACUGGGGCUAAUACCGGAUAGGAGCUCCUGCUGCAUGGUGGGGGUUGGAAAGUUUCGGCGGUGGGGGAUGGACUCGCGGCUUAUCAGCUUGUUGGUGGGGUAGUGGCUUACCAAGGCUUUGACGGGUAGCCGGCCUGGGAGGGUGACCGGCCACAUUGGGACUGAGAUACGGCCCAGACUCCUACGGGAGGCAGCAGUGGGGAAUAUUGCACAAUGGGCGGAAGCCUGAUGCAGCAACGCCGCGUGCGGGAUGACGGCCUUCGGGUUGUAAACCGCUUUCGCCUGUGACGAAGCGGGAGUGACGGUAAUGGGUAAAGAAGCACCGGCUAACUACGUG